UACGUAGGAUGCAAGCGUUGUCCGGAAUUAUUGGGCGUAAAGGGCUCGUAGGCGGUCCAUCGCGUCGGGAGUGAAAAGCUGGGGCUUAACCCCAGUCCUGCUUCCGAUACGGGUGGACUAGAGGUAGGUAGGGGAGAUCGGAAUUCCUGGUGUAGCGGUGAAAUGCGCAGAUAUCAGGAGGAACACCAGUGGCGAAGGCGACUACCUGGCCUGUUCUUGACGCUGAGGCGCGAAAGCUAGGGGAGCAAACGGG
rnacentral:rRNA from 1 species